CAGCAGCCACGGGAAUACGAAGGGGGCUAGCGUUGCUCGGAAUCACUGGGCGUAAAGGGUGCGUAGGCGGGUCUUUAAGUCAGGGGUGAAAUCCUGGAGCUCAACUCCAGAACUGCCUUUGAUACUGAAGAUCUUGAGUUCGGGAGAGGUGAGUGGAACUGCGAGUGUAGAGGUGAAAUUCGUAGAUAUUCGCAAGAACACCAGUGGCGAAGGCGGCUCACUGGCCCGAUACUGACGCUGAGGCACGAAAGCGUGGGGAGCAAACAGGAUUAGAUACCCGCGUAGUCCCUGUCUCUUAUAU
rnacentral:rRNA from 1 species